UCGGGAAUUUUGGGCAAUGGGCGCAAGCCUGAUCCAGCCAUGCCGCGUGAGUGACGAAGGCCUUAGGGUUGUAAAGCUCUUUUGGCGGGGAAGAUAAUGACGGUACCCGCAGAAUAAGCUCCGGCUAACUUCGUGCCAGCAGCCGCGGUAAUACGAAGGGAGCUAGCGUUGUUCGGAAUCACUGGGCGUAAAGCGCACGUAGGUGGGCAGUUAAGUCAGGGGUGAAAGCCCGAGGCUCAACCUCGGAAUUGCCUCUGAUACUGGCUGUCUAGAGUUCGAGAGAGGUGAGUGGAAUUCCUAGUGUAGAGGUGAAAUUCGUAGAUAUUAGGAAGAACACCGGUGGCGAAGGCGGCUCACUGGCUCGAUACUGACACUGAGGUGCGAAAGCGUGGGGAGCAAACAGGAUUAGAUACCCCCGUAGUCCCUGAGCGGGCUGGCAAGGCGCAU
rnacentral:rRNA from 1 species